AGUGAACGCUGGCGGUAGGCCUAACACAUGCAAGUCGAACGGCAGCACAGUAAGAGCUUGCUCUUACGGGUGGCGAGUGGCGGACGGGUGAGGAAUACAUCGGAAUCUACUUUUUCGUGGGGGAUAACGUAGGGAAACUUACGCUAAUACCGCAUACGACCUACGGGUGAAAGCAGGGGAUCUUCGGACCUUGCGCGAUUGAAUGAGCCGAUGUCGGAUUAGCUAGUUGGCGGGGUAAAGGCCCACCAAGGCGACGAUCCGUAGCUGGUCUGAGAGGAUGAUCGGCCACACUGGAACUGAGACACGGACCAGACUCCUACGGGAGGCAGCAGUGGGGAAUAUUGGACAAUGGGCGCAAGCCUGAUCCAGCCAUACCGCGUGGGUGAAGAAGGCCUUCGGGUUGUAAAGCCCUUUUGUUGGGAAAGAAAAGCAGCAGGUUAAUACCCCGCUGUUCUGACGGUACCCAAAGAAUAAGCACCGGCUAACUUCGUG
rnacentral:rRNA from 1 species